UUAUUGGGCUUUUUCAGCUCCCCUUAAGUGGCCACAACUUGUGGACUAAUUCGUUGACGCCAAAGUCUUUGAAGAAGCUUCAGCUCCUUACACAGACGAUGAUUUUGCCCUUCUAAACUAUUUGGCUCUUCAUUUUUGGUGUACAACUUCAACAAUCCCACUUCUUUUCCUGGUCUGGAGAGCAUCAUGGAUAAUGUUAUGGAGCAGAAACUUUCGGAAACAAGCAAUCUGAAGUGGAGAAUUUGGAAUGAGACCAGGCUUGUGUGGAAAAUCAUUCUUCCGUCUAUCUUGGCUAGAGUA